CCAGCAGCCGCGGUAAUUCCAGCUCCAAUAGCGUAUAUUAAAGUUGUUGCAGUUAAAAAGCUCGUAGUUGGAUUUCUGGCAGGAGCGUCCGGUCUCACACUCAGUGCGGGAACUUGGAUGUCUCUGGCCAUCUUUGGGGAUAUCCUGUUUGGCAUUAAGUUGUCGGGCAGGGGAUACCCAUCGUUUACUGUGAAAAAAUUAGAGUGUUUAAAGCAGGCUUAUGCCGUUGAAUAUAUUAGCAUGGAAUAAUAAGAUAGGACUUUGGUACUAUUUUGUUGGUUUGUGCACCAGAGUAAUGAUUAAUAGGGACAGUUGGGGCUAUUCGUAUUCCAUUGUCAGAGGUGAAAUUCUUGGAUUUCUGGAAGACGAACUACUGCGAAAGCAUUCGGCAAGGAUGUUUUCA
rnacentral:rRNA from 1 species